AAUAGAUACCCCGGUAGUCCACGCCCUAAACGAUGUCAACUGGUUGUUGGAAGGGUUCCCUUUCAGUAACGAAGCUAACGCGUGAAGUUGACCGCCUGGGGAGUACGGCCGCAAGGUUGAAACCCAAAGGAAUUGACGGGGACCCGCACAAGCGGUGGAUGAUGUGGUUUAAUUCGAUGCAACGCGAAAAACCUUACCUACCCUUGACAUGUCUGGAAUCCCGAAGAGAUUUGGGAGUGCUCGAAAGAGAACCAGAACACAGGUGCUGCAUGGCCGUCGUCAGCUCGUGUCGUGAGAUGUUGGGUUAAGUCCCGCAACGAGCGCAACCCUUGUCAUUAGUUGCUACGAAAGGGCACUCUAAUGAGACUGCCGGUGACAAACCGGAGGAAGGUGGGGAUGACGUCAGGUCCUCAUGGCCCUUAUGGGUAGGGCUACACACGUCAUACGAUGGCCGGUACAGAGGGCUGCCAACCCGCGAGGGGGAGCUAAUCCCAGAAAACCGGUCGUAGUCCGGAUCGCAGUCUGCAACUCGACUGCGUGAAGUCGGAAUCGCGU
rnacentral:rRNA from 1 species